AGUGAACGCUGGCGGUAGGCCUAACACAUGCAAGUCGAACGGCAGCACAGUAAGAGCUUGCUCUUACGGGUGGCGAGUGGCGGACGGGUGAGGAAUACAUCGGAAUCUACUUUUUCGUGGGGGAUAACGUAGGGAAACUUACGCUAAUACCGCAUACAACCUACGGGUGAAAGCAGGGGAUCUUCGGACCUUGCGCGAUUGAAUGAGCCGAUGUCGGAUUAGCUAGUUGGCGGGGUAAAGGCCCACCAAGGCGACGAUCCGUAGCUGGUCUGAGAGGAUGAUCAGCCACACUGGAACUGAGACACGGUCCAGACUCCUACGGGAGGCAGCAGUGGGGAAUAUUGGACAAUGGGCGCAAGCCUGAUCCAGCCAUACCGCGUGGGUGAAGAAGGUCUUCGGGUUGUAAAGCCCUUUUGUUGGGAAAGAAAAGCAGCAGGUUAAUACCCCGCUGUUCUGACGGUACCCAAAGAAUAAGCACCGGCUAACUUCGUG
rnacentral:rRNA from 1 species